UAGGCAGAGGCCUGUUGGUUUGGGCAUAUAGCUGUUAACUAUAAUAUCAUGGGAUCGAAGCCCAUCUGUCUAGUAG
rnacentral:tRNA from 1 species